ensembl:lncRNA
GGAAACUCCCCAAGCUCUUUCAUUAUUUGCCACGCAAGCCAGGUCGUGAGCUUUGGCAAGGCAAGUCAGUCUGCCAGAAGCCGUAUUGUCUGGGACUUCCCAUGCCUGUGGAAAGGAACCGUGAGUAGGACCUGGAAAUUCGCAAGCUCUGGGGUAAAGACACCUGAAUAAAGGAUGAUGGGCCCAGGGAGGAAGCAGCCCUACUGUGUUGCAGGCACUGGCCAGCACUGAGGAUGCAGGAGUGCACAUACCAUCCCAGCCUUUGUGGAACUUACAGUCCAUGGGGAAGACAAAUAUUCCAGGAAGAAUCGCAUGAUGACAGUUGUGAUCAGUGACGCAGGGGAAAAGCACAGGCUAUGGGGGUGGGUGUCUCAUGGGGUCCUAACUUUGUGUGUUGGUGGAGGAAGAUUAGGGGAAGCUUGCACGGGAAAGCGAUACUUAAGCUGGAACUAAAGGAUAGUAGGAAUUAGUAGUUUCUAAUUAGCCAGAAGUCAGAUGCACAGGGACACUCAGAUCAUAGUAAGGAGGAAUGGGUAGCCACGGAAGGGUUCAAGGGGAGGGGGUAGGGGUAGAGCUCACCUAUCAGAUUUGUCCUUCAAAACGAUCAUCCUGCGUAUACCCAGUCUGGCACUAAAGAUUAGAGAUGCUAAGGUGACUACGAUACCACGUCAGCUCUCAGGAGCUCAGAAACCACUAUGGAAUACAGAUGAAAACACAGUACAGUGUGAUGCGUGAACUAUCUCAAUCAUUCUCAUACCUUAGCGUGCAUCAGAGCCCUCUGUGGGCUUAUCAAAAUCUAGACCUCUGGGCCCCACCCCCAGAGUUCUGAUUUCAUACUUUGGGAGUGAGGCCUGAGAAUGUGCAUUUAUAACAAGUUUCCGGGUGAUACUGAUGCUUCCAGUCUGGGGACCACACUUUGACAGCCCCAGAAUGAAUCGAAUCACAUGCAUGGAGUUCAUUCUGAGUGGUGGGGGAGGAAAGCAUUUUGGAAGAAUCAAAGCCUGAGCAGAGUUUUGAGGGAUGAAUAGGAGUUCAUUAGACAGACAAGGCAAAAGAAAGGCUACCCUAGGUAUGGGAAAAAGCAUGAACAAAGAAGCCAGAAGUAGCUUGGUGGGUCCGCAGGUGAGAAAGAUGAGCUGGCAAAUCCCAAGCAAGCGCGGCAAACGGGAUAACAGAGGAGGAGCUGCUGCUCUCCCCAAGGGAACUACCACCGACUAUACCCUCUCUGCUCAGCAGGCGUCCAUCGCACGAAGGACCAAGCAUUUCCGGAACCCCAGGCCCCAGCAGAGAGAGGGGCUGGCUGUGGAACGCCUGGGUCUCUCCUGCUCCACGUCACACGUGCGGCAAGCUGCAGCUGCACACCGUUUUUCUUUUCCUCCCAGAACAAAUUACAGGUCUUUUUUUUUUUUCUCAAGUGGCUUAGCUGAGGCCCAUAGAGCAGGUUUCUGUACUGAAUGAGGCUCUUGACUCUGCCAGCCUGGGAGAAAUUAGGUCGGUUUAAUCACCGGUGAUGUCAUAAAAGCCGCUUUCUUAAUGGGAGUGCUGAUUGGAGGGGCGGGGGUAGAGACGGGCGCUGAGGUCACCUCUGAGCAGAACUGCACAGGCUGCUGAGGACGGCUCUGGAGAAAGGCAGAUCCACGGGCAGUGGCUGCCCAAAGGCUUUGAAGUUUCAUUUACAGUGUUUUACAACCAUAUGUGGGGAGUAAAUUGUCCCUGCAGGCUGCUGCACUUUGCCCUCCCCUCCAAGGGGCGGUGGAAGUCACACUAAUAGUAUCUGUCACAAGAUAAGGGCACAGGAUCAGAGAGCAAGGAGGAGACAGAGUUGGCCUGUCCGUGACCUUGUAGUGGGGAGCUCUGUGGCCCUCUGCUAAGUUUCUCAGGGCUCUCUGCUGUCUUGGCGUGUGUCCCUCGGCAGCUCAGCCACCCUCUCAGGGUCCUGCCUCCUCAGUGUCUGAAGUCUUAGCAAGACGAGGAGGAAGGCAUUUUAUGUUUCCAGCAGUGGCACUGAGUUCAUGCAAAAUCAGACUUGAGGUGGAGCAGAUUUGUUGAGGAGGUAUUUGCUUCUGUGGUUUCAAGCAGUCGUUUCCAAACGCGUGGACGUCCACCCUUUGUCGAAAAGCACCUAGUUCUGGAGGUCAGAAGUCCAAAAUGGUCUCACUGGGCUAAAAUCAAGGUGUCAGCAGGACCGUGUUCCUUCUGGAGACCGUAGAGAAGAAUUUGUUUUCUUGUCUCUUUCAACUUCUAUAGGCUGCCUGCAUUCCUUGGCUCGUGGCCCCUUCCUCCAUCUUCAAAGCCAGCCAUGUAACAUUUCCACAUCUCCUUUUCUGCCUCUGCUUCCAUUGUCACAUCUCCUUCUCUGACGCUGGGUCUCCUGCCUCCCUCUUAUAACCACCCUUAUGGUUACAUUGAGCCCACCUGGAUAAUCCAAGAUAAUCUCCCUAUCUCAAGAUCCUUAACUUAAUCAUAUCAUUCAAAGUCCCUUUACCUCAUAAG